UGGUCCCCUCUGCCCCUUGAGCUGGGGGCAGGGGCCUGGGGGCAGUGCCGGUUCCCUUCCUUGGGCAGAGCGGGGGUCUCUCCCUCUCACUGAGCAGCAGCAGCAGCAGCAUCGGCCAUGGACAAGCUGCCCCCCUCCAUGCGCAAGAGGCUCUACAGCCUGCCCCAGCAGAUCGGACCCAAGGCGUCGAUCAUGGACGAGGAGGAUGACAGCGACAAGGACACCCGGAGGAAAAGCAUCAGGCUGAAGCCACUGCCUUCGCCCUCUGCUGGGAGCACCCGGGCCCUCGGGGGGGACCCCGGCAGAGGGGGGGACCCCGGCCUCCUGGAGACGGAGGCCGGCGGCAAGGGCGCCAAGACCAGCACCAACGGGGACUGCCGCCGCUUCAAAGGGAGCCUGUCCUCGCUGACCAGCAGGCACCUCCACGACGCGGCCGAGGAGAAGAGGCUGAUCGGCGGCGAAGGGGAGCCGGCCUCCCCCAGCGAGGACAAGAGCCCCCCCGGCAGUGGGGAGCUGGAGCAGGGGCUGCCGGCGCCCCCACCGCCCGCGUCCCCCCCGGAGCCUCAGCAGCCCCCCCGGGCCUGCUCCUCCACUUCCAUCAAAGUGGAAGGAGGUGGAGGGUGCGACCAGAUCACCCCAGAUGAGGAGCAGAGGCUGGGCCAAGCCGGUUUCAUGCAGAGGCAGUUCGGGGCCAUGCUCCAGCCGGGGGUCAACAAAUUCUCCUUGAGGAUGUUUGGCAGCCAGAAGGCCGUGGAGAGGGAGCAGGAGAGGGUUAAGUCUGCCGGGUUCUGGAUCAUCCACCCCUACAGCGACUUCAGGUUUUACUGGGAUUUGACCAUGCUGCUCCUGAUGGUAGGGAACCUGAUCAUCAUCCCUGUGGGCAUCACUUUCUUCAAGGAUGAAAACACUACCCCAUGGAUUGUCUUCAAUGUGGUUUCGGACACGUUCUUCCUCAUCGACCUUGUCCUCAACUUCCGAACAGGCAUCGUGGUGGAGGACAACACCGAGAUCAUCCUGGACCCACAGAGGAUCAAGAUGAAGUACCUCAAGAGCUGGUUUGUGGUGGAUUUUAUCUCCUCCAUCCCCGUGGACUAUAUCUUCCUGAUCGUGGAGACCCGCAUUGACUCGGAGGUGUACAAGACGGCCCGGGCCCUGCGCAUCGUGCGCUUCACCAAGAUCCUGAGCCUGCUCCGGCUGCUGAGGCUCUCCCGGCUCAUCCGCUACAUCCACCAGUGGGAGGAGAUCUUCCACAUGACCUACGAUCUGGCCAGUGCCGUGGUGAGGAUCGUGAACCUCAUUGGGAUGAUGCUGCUGCUGUGCCACUGGGACGGCUGCCUCCAGUUCCUGGUGCCGAUGCUGCAGGACUUCCCCGACGACUGCUGGGUGUCCCUGAACCGCAUGGUGAACGACUCCUGGGGGAAGCAGUAUUCCUACGCCCUGUUCAAGGCCAUGAGCCACAUGCUGUGCAUCGGCUACGGGCAGCAGGCGCCCGUGGGCAUGUCGGACGUGUGGCUCACCAUGCUCAGCAUGAUCGUGGGGGCCACCUGCUACGCCAUGUUCAUCGGCCACGCCACCGCCCUCAUCCAGUCCCUGGACUCCUCCCGCCGCCAGUACCAGGAGAAGUACAAACAGGUGGAGCAGUACAUGUCCUUCCACAAGCUCCCGGCAGACAUGCGGCAGCGCAUCCACGACUACUACGAGCACCGGUACCAGGGGAAGAUGUUUGAUGAGGAGAGCAUCCUGGGGGAGCUGAGCGAGCCCCUGCGAGAGGAAAUCAUAAACUUCAACUGCCGGAAGCUGGUGGCCUCCAUGCCCCUGUUUGCCAACGCAGACCCCAACUUCGUGACGUCCAUGCUGACCAAGCUGCGGUUCGAGGUGUUCCAGCCGGGCGACUACAUCAUCCGGGAGGGCACCAUCGGCAAGAAGAUGUACUUCAUCCAGCACGGCGUGGUCAGCGUCCUCACCAAGGGCAACAAGGAGACCAAGCUGGCCGACGGAUCCUACUUCGGAGAGAUCUGCCUGCUGACGCGGGGCCGGCGCACGGCCAGCGUGCGAGCCGACACCUACUGCCGCCUGUACUCCCUGUCCGUGGACAACUUCAACGAGGUGCUGGAGGAGUACCCCAUGAUGCGCAGGGCUUUUGAAACCGUGGCUCUGGACAGGCUGGACAGAAUUGGCAAGAAGAAUUCCAUUCUGCUGCAUAAAGUCCAGCAUGACCUGAAUUCGGGUGUUUUCAACUACCAGGAGAAUGAGAUCAUCCAGCAGAUCGUGCAGCACGACAGGGAGAUGGCUCACUGUGCUCACAAUGUCCAGGCUGCCGCCGCCGCCGCCUCCACACCCACCCCGGUCAUCUGGACCCCGCUGAUCCAGGCCCCCCUCCAGGCUGCAGCAGCCACCACGUCCGUGGCCAUCGCCCUGACCCACCACCCCCGGCUCCCCACAGCCAUCUUCCGUCCACCCGUGUCCGUCCUGGGCUCCCUGGGGCAGCAAUCCAACCAGACUCCCAGGCAGCUGAAAAGAUUUCAAUCCCUAAUCCCAUCAACCGGCCCCUCUGCCGUCGGCUCUCCCUCCAGUACUCCAUCCCAGCUGCACACACCCGGAGCAGAAACCCCCUCGUCCUCUUCCUUCCACAUCCAGCAGCUCGCAGGGUUCUCGGCUGCCGCUGGCUUAGGCCAGUUCCAGGUGGGAUCCCCUCCAGGUGGCUCAAGCCAGCCGGGUUUGAGCAGCACCUCCUCGGUGGGACUGAGCCAGUUCCAAAACGCACCUUCUGGAUCACCCUUAGGUGCAGCUCAGCCGGUGCAGCAGCAGCAGCAACAGCAGCAACAGCAGCAGCAACAGCAGCAGCAGCAGCAGCAGCAGCAGCAGCAGCAGCAGCAGCCAGCCCUUUCCAGCAGUGGAUUUGGGCACUUCCAGCAAGCCACAACCAGCUCCCCAUCGACAUCCCUCACCCAGCUCUCAUCAAACUCACCCCCCAGUCUUCUCAACCAGUUCCAGCCAACCACCAGACCACUGCAGGGGGGACAGUUACAGCAGCUCUCGGGCAGUGGGACUUUGGGGGGAAUGAAUCACUUCCAACCCCCUCCUUCUUCCAACUCUCCAUCCUCCAGUCUAAGCCAGCUGGCACAGGCCUCAGGUGGGCCGUCCUCAGGCCUGUGCCAAACACAUCCAAGUGCAUUAGGAUCUUUAACUGGAACGAUAGCCCAGCUCCACCAAGAACGGCCUCCCUUUGCCUCCGUGUCUCCACUACAACAGUCUGGUGUCGCCUCUCCCUCUUACACCCCUUCUGGCCUUAGUCCUCCCAGUCAGAGCCCAGUGGCUACAAGAACUUUCCAGAGUGGCCCUGCCGGGCCCACAGGCUCUCACGGCUCGCUGCUGCUGCCCCAGCCUGCCAGCCCCCCUCCGCAGAUCCUGCAGGCCAAGGGCACGGCGCCGGUGCCGGUGCCGCCGGGACGGCUCAACCAGGACAUCAAGCUGAUCUCUGCUUCCCAGCCAUCUCUGCCCCAGGAGCUGGCGCAGACACUGGGCCACAGUUCUCCUCAUUCCUCUAAAGAAUCUGUUUCCAGCUUCUCUCCUUUUCCUGGAGGAGGGACUGGACUUCUGGGGAAGCCUUGUAGCUCGAUCCCCGGGCGUGUGACUUUGCCGCGGCAGAUGUCCUCAGGGUCUUUGCCACACCCGCUGGUGUUCGGGGCCGGCGCUGCUCCUCUGACUGCUGGUGGGCGCAAAGAAUCCAUAGUGCUCACAGGGGAUCUGGAGCCCGUCAGAUCCAAACUGCCCUCCAAUUUGUGAGGACUCCUCCCGAGAGCUGGUUAUGUCAGCCCUGCAGUUCAGUUCCUGAUUAGUUCAUGAAGCAUUUUUUUUUUCCCUUUCCUUCCCCCCCCACCCCGCACCCGCUUUGUUUUCUCCAUUUCAUUUGUUUAGGUUUAACUGUGCUUAGAAACAAAGAAAAACACAUGAAAAACAACAACAACAAAAAAAAGAAGAUAACCAGGUAUUCUUAGAGUUAUAGAUUUUUGGUCACUUGAUUUUAUAGAAUAUUUUAAUACAUGGAACAAAAGGAUAUAAGCAAAUUUAAUCCAACGAGGUAACGCACAGGCGAGGCGUGUGCCUGAGCUGGAACAUGUGAAUGAUCAGCCAUAGAAGCCACCAAAAAAAGGUUUUCCUGUUGAGACAAAGAUCCGAGGUUGACGUGGGCUGUAGGAGGUGACAUCAGGUCGGGUCUGUUGCUGGUGUUUUAGGACAGCCCUGGUUGGCCUCAGCUGUGACCCUGGUCCGCAGCACCUGGUUCUGGGGGUCGUGGAUGGCCCACUGUGAGCACCAGAAGGUGUCCCUUCCUCCCAUGUUCCCUCCUGUGUUCAGAUUGCAGAGCAAGCGAGAAGAGGGGGGAGUUUCAUUAUUCCAGACCCCUCUAGGGAUUUCCCAAGGGCCAAGUUUUGGUUUGGACUCCACUUGAAGAAGAUGAAGGUGACCAGCAGGUGGACGGGCCUCACUCAGAUUGUCUCUUUCUGACUCCACUGAUGCUCUGAUGGGAACAAGGAGCAGUCUCUUGUAGGUCACAAGGAGGGCAGUGAUUAUCCCCUCUGUAUUUUUGUCAUGGAUGUGGGCAGUGGGAAAAAUCUUGGCUCUGCCAGCACACCAGGCAGUGACCUCAGCUGGCACAAAGGCCCAAACUUCAGCGUCUCCGUGGUUUGGAAAGUGUGUGUGCAAAGCCAGAGGAGGGAUGGAGAAGGAAAGCACCUGAACCUUCCCCCUGUCACGUUACUGUCUCAGUGUCCAUGGGCUGACUGCUUUGAAGAGAACUAGAAAAGGACUGAGCAGUGGGGUGCAGUCACCCACCCCUGCCCUCCUCCUCCUCAGACUAGAGGAGUUUGAGCUUUGAGGCACCCAGAGUAGUUCUGGUGCCCAGCCAAGAAUCCUCCAGAUUUGCAACUCUGUUUUCACCACUCACACCAGAUUAGACCAGAGAUUUGGCCAGCCAUGGUCUGUGCUUCCCCCCUGCCGGGGGGUCCGAAAUCCUGCGUUUGAUUUCACCAGCAAUAAGAGCUGCACCCGAUGGGCUUUGGCCUGGCCCUGCAGCUGCAGCGUCACUGGACACACCUGGGGCCUGGCAGGCACCUGGAGCUGGAGUUUUUGGGCUCCCCUAAGGCAGUCAGAGUGGGAUGAGGGCAUGAGGGGCCGCUGGGUGCACACUGAGAAGAUGCAGCCUUUACCUCUAGAGUGAAUGUCUCCUUUUUUGUUACUUUGAUCCUUUCUCUGUUUCAGUCUCUUAGGCCAAGAGGUGUCUACACCUCACUGUAAGAGUCAGGUGCUCAACUUUUCUAACCCUUGUUAGAAAGACAUCCAGCCUCCCUCUGUUUCCAGCUAUCAUGGGGUCCCCAGAGGGAAAGCAGGACUUCAUGCAGCAGUGCCAAAAACUUAUCCCAGUAAUGAUAUAGGUCCCUCAAACUCCCUCUCUGACCUCCUCCCACCCCCAAAACACUGGCUGACAGUUGUUUUUUAUACUGAAUUGUUUGCAAAACUCUUUGACAUGUGCCUGUAUCUCGAAUGUUGCUGCAGCAUUCCUGGGCACUCCUGCUUCAACGUGCUUUGGUGGCUCAGAAUUCAGAUGUAAUCAGCUUUGGUCUUCCUUAAAGGGUCAGGGGAACUCUAGAAAUGUUUUUUCUACUAGCUACAUACACCUAUAUAUGUGUGAGUGUGUGUGGUGGGAGGGAUGCAUGUGUGUGUGUGUGUGUGUGUGUUUGUAUAGAUUUUAUAUAUCUAUCUAUAUAUACACACAUGCUUUUAUAUAUAUAGUAUAGUUAUACACCUAUGUAGUCUAUUUAUGCACACAUGUAAGCACACACACACACACACACACAUUUAUAUAUAUAUAUAUAUAUAUCCUAGUUUUAAAAUACAUGUCAAUUUUGACCCUCCUGUAGGACUGAUUGGCAGGUGAUAAUUAUAAUCUAUAGAUCCUGCUUUUCCAAAUAUGUACAGGUUCAUCUUGAAACAGGAAUUGAAGCAGACUCACAGACCCUCUCAUAUUUUCAAAGAUGUGUGUACGAAAUCCUUCACGUUAAUGGCAGACAUGGCAACUCUGGCUGACUGUGUGAUCCGUGGAGAAGGGCCCAAGGAGCAGGAUGCAGAUGUGAACAACCUGGAACAGGGACUGCCACAGGAAGCAGACAAAGCAGGGAGGAAGGAAGCAGCAGUUUCCAGGUCUCAGACUAAGCUGGAUGGUGAUGCCAAGGUCAGGAGCUGAUGUAUUUUAGGAAGCUUUGCAGCCCAGGACUGAAGACCCCACCUCAUCUCUAGGGGAAGAUGAAGUUACAGGAGGUGGAGGCACUGACAGCCAGCCUAAAAUGAAAAAGGGACACAGCCUGUGGCAGCCCAGCCUUGCCCUGCCUGCAGCCUGCUGAGGGGGUCAGGAUGAUGCUCCCAAGGACACAAGUGACCGGGAAAGUGGCUGAUGACCAGUGGGAGUCCCCAGUGUGAGAGAAGGAGGCUGGAGUCAGCAUGGAGCAACAUGGAUACCCAUCACUGCACUUCAAAAGGUACAGACAAAGCACUCUAUUCCAUGAUUAUAGUAUUAUUUUUCAUGAUUUACCAGUUUACUAAGGCUACUAAAAUGUCCUUUCCCUGAUGUGAACCCCUUCCUUCUCUACUUGCUUAUUAAAAGGUGGUAUUUUUUACCAUGGAGCUUUGAAAUAGAAGGAAGGCAGAGGUUACAUGUUCAGUUACACGCACAAAGACUGAGGGAGAGUAACAAUUUUCCUCUUCCUUCUCUGGAGGACACAACCUACCAACCCACAGCAACAAAAAGGGCAAGUAAAAUUCCAAACCUGGUCCCUGUAUCGAUUAGGAAUAAUUAAACAAACUCUCCAAGCAGCCCAGAAUUUGAUU